rnacentral:rRNA from 1 species
UACGUAGGUGACAAGCGUUGUCCGGAUUUAUUGGGCGUAAAGCGCGUGUAGGCGGCCAGGUAGGUCGGUUGUGAAAAUUGGAGGCUCAACCUCCAGACGUCGAUCGAAACCAUCUGGCUAGAGUCCGGAAGAGGAGAAUGGAAUUCCUGGUGUAGCGGUGAAAUGCGCAGAUAUCAGGAAGAACACCGAUGGCGAAGGCAAUCCCCUGGGCCUGCACUGACGCUCAUGCACGAAAGCGUGGGGAGCAAACAGG